rnacentral:rRNA from 1 species
GACGUAGGGUGCGAGCGUUGUCCGGAUUUAUUGGGCGUAAAGCGCGCGCAGGCGGCUUCUUGAGUCCAUCGGUGAAAUGCCGGGGCUCAACCCCGAGCCGGCCGAGGAUACUGGGAGGCUGGAGACGAGUAGAGGCAAGCGGAAUUCCGGGUGUAGCGGUGGAAUGCGUAGAGAUCCGGAAGAACACCGGAGGCGAAGGCGGCUUGCUGGGCUUGGUCUGACGCUGAGGCGCGAAAGCGUGGGGAGCAAACAGG